rnacentral:rRNA from 1 species
UACGUAGGGCGCAAGCGUUGUCCGGAAUUAUUGGGCGUAAAGAGCUCGUAGGCGGCUUGUCACGUCGGGUGUGAAAGCUCGGGGCUUAACCCCGGGUCUGCAUUCGAUACGGGCUAGCUAGAGUGUGGUAGGGGAGAUCGGAAUUCCUGGUGUAGCGGUGAAAUGCGCAGAUAUCAGGAGGAACACCGGUGGCGAAGGCGGAUCUCUGGGCCAUUACUGACGCUGAGGAGCGAAAGCGUGGGGAGCGAACAGG